ensembl:lncRNA
GGAAAUUUGGUUGUAACAGCAGCCAAAAAGACACAUAUACAAACAAACAGUACACAGGACACAGAACAGAAACAUUCACAAUUUUUCUUACAUAUUUACAUUAAGGACAAUGUUGCAGGAUCGGAGAGUAUAUUUCUUUGGGUAACGCCUAAGGAAAAUGUUGGCCGUAUUAUGUUCAUUACAACCUGCUGAGACUCUCUGACCAAACCAGGGACGCCAUGAUGGGGUUCGCAGAACAAUUAGGUCCGAGUUCGCUGACGGGAGAGCGAAAUCGAAUUAUCUAAAACCAUGCAUGAGCACUCAGGUAUCGAAAAUAUGCUGGCGUCCUGGAUGACAUCUGUGUUUGGACAAUGGAAAGGUGUGGCUAAGUAAACUUGGCAAGUGUCAGUGAUGUUUUCUUUGACUGUACUUUUGGGAAUACUGGUCAUCGCUAGUUGUGGUAUCAUUCCUUGUGUCAGAGGAUGGUUGGUAAAGAUAAUGGCGAGGGUUGCGAACCCUGCCUGGGUUGAGGGAAAUUCUUUAUUCCUAUUAUAUAAUCUGCAUUAUUAUGAUUGCAUUAAGAACAUGUUUUACAGCAUUCUUUCAACUUUACAGCUCCUAACUUGCAGGAAUGGCGGGGAGUGUAAUGAAUGAAUGCAAAAUAUGCUUACAGACACAAUCAUGACAGGGGUUUAUUUUACAGGGUAAAGGUGGACCACAGGUUGCUUUGUUUCUGCUUAGCAACUACUGAGGUAAAAGGUGUUAAAGAUAAAUAUGCAAUAAGUGAACAGGAAAUGUGUGAGGGUGAGCCGGGUGAAACAAAAUGUUGUAGAUAAUGGAAACUUGUCUAACGGGCAUUAACAGUAACCUUUGCAUGUUAUGUAUAUGCUUGAAGCCAAAGGAGGCAUAAAUCCAGAUAGAAAACUUUGAAGUGUGCUUUUAGCGGAGAUUUAGGCUGACAGGGGGAUGGUGUAUAUAUUUUACCCGGGGUGUGUUUAAUAAAAAAAAAAAAAAAAAAAAAAAAAGCGUUGCUCACACACAUAAAGAGUAUUGAGAUUAAAUAAAGUUAAUAUAAUGGAUAGAGCCCAGAACAGGAAAAUACAUAAGUAAAAUCAAAUGUAAUGUUUGAUUUCACUUUUAUUGGGAAACAAUCAGGCUAGAAAUGUGAGUAACCUAUGUUUAAACUGUGAAAACACUCUCCACAUACAUUAAAACUGUGCAACUCUGAGUGGGCCAUGCAAUCAAGCAACUGUUACAUAUCUGUAUUAAACUAGCCAACAUAGACUCACCACAAAUGAUGUUGCCCUGCAGCGGGGGCAGAAAAUCAUUUGCAAACCAGGGAUCUUAUGUUGAUUAUCAUAUUCUUACUUAUGUACACACACACACAGAAGGGAAAAAUUUCAAAACAAAACAAAAACAACUUCGCUUAACCUGUCAAGCACAGGAGCAAAAUAAAAAUCUCUUUGGGCUCUGUUAAAAUUUCUUUAGUAAAAGUGUAAAAGGCCAAACCUAAGAGGUUGGGCAACCCGGAAAGUCCCUCCAGUAUCAGGAGUUAAUAGUCAGGAAACAUUCUUCACUUUAACGCGUUUUUUAUGAAAAACCACUGACUCAUAGAUGCAGAUAGACAUACAAGUGCACAUACAUCCAGAUGUGCAUUUAGACAUUAAAAGUGUAGAGACAUGUACACACAGAUUGGCAAACCGGUACAGAGUCUAACUGAAGAGCUUAACAAAGCAGACGUGGCAGUAGGGUUUGUGAUUUUGCCUGAUAUGAUAUUGGGAACCAACUUUGAAUAAUGACAGGAACCUGAGAUGAACACAGUAGGUUAGUAAGGUGUAGCAGAGAGAGGGUCAGAGCGAAGGUAGUGGACCUGGGAAUAGUGUAGUGACGUCUUUGGAAGACGUCAAAAGGGGGAAUUGUAGAAUUAUAGGGACUAUUUUACAUAACCAUCAUCUUGUCAUUGCAUUAAUUAUCAUUUCAUCCAAGCAUUUAUUGAAGCUGCUGGCAUUAUGUUAUAAUUUAUAUUAUAGGGGUUAUCAUAAUCAAAUAUUAACAUGUUUAUUACAGGUGCAGUAUAACUACUUUAAAAUGAUUGAGUUAAAUAUAUAUAUAUCAUAACUCAUAUGCUGAGUAUAUUGUUACAGUAAAAUAGUAGCUGAGCAAAGGCCUGAAUGUAUUCAGCUUCUUGUGGUAUUUGAGUUUGCUUAGUUACAGGUGACGGAAGGAUGUCCAGUCCAUGGUGACCUCAAAGGCCUUAGGUCAUCACUAUAUUCGGAAGAGUAUGCCACAAGGAGGAACCUCUAUGUUGCAGUUAAUUCUUAAAAUACAUGAAUGUUCUGUACAUGCAAAUUAUGUGCUUGUAAACGCAAGAAGGGGCGUUACAAUACCCUGAUGUUAUAAAAACAAUCUAGAGUGUAUUUUGGGUAGAGAUGUACAACUGCUUUGCAGUUUGCACCUCUCCACGCUGCGUGCAUUCAUUAAAAUCAAUUGUUUGAUUGACCUCUUCUGGACCAUCAUUGUUUUACUCUCAUCCUCAAUUUCGAACUCGUAACAUAAGCAUGCAUGCAAUUAACCUGCUAUGUUCUCAUCUUCCCUCAACAUGUAUCACCUGGACACUCUCACCAGUGAAGCUUAAAACCCUCUUGGAUGGAACAUC